AACGUAGGAGACGAACGUUAUCCGGAGUUACUGGGCGUAAAGGGCGUGCAGGCGGCCUGAUAAGUUCGGCGUGAAAUUUCUCGGCUUAACCGAGGGAUGUCGUCGGAGACUGUUGGGCUCGAGGGUGAUAGAGGCGUGUGGAAUUCCGGGUGUAGUGGUGAAAUGCGUAGAGAUCCGGAGGAACACCAGUGGCGAAGGCGACACGCUGGGUCAUACCUGACGCUAAAACGCGACAGCAUGGGGAGCGAAC
rnacentral:rRNA from 1 species